rnacentral:lncRNA from 1 species
AUAUAUAAUGAUCUUUAUCAAAGUAUCAUAGAAACUCUUUUCAAUGCAGAACAAUUCUACUCUAACUCAUCAAGGAUUGUCGAUCCAGAACAAUCCUAGUAAGCUCUCAUAAUCCACCAGUGACAUCUGCAGUAUGUAAUGACAAUUCAGUAGAAUCAAAAAAAAAUCUUUAGGUGUAUUUAAAGUGUGAUUCAGUCCCUC